rnacentral:misc_RNA from 1 species
CGCACCUUGCGCUCCUUGGUAUUCCGAGGAGCAUGCCUGUUUGAGUGUCAUGGUAUUCUCAAUUCCCUCAACCUUUGCUGGAUGGGGUGAUAUUGGACUUGGAGGUUCUUGCUGGCACCCCUGCGGAGUCAGCUCCUCUUAAAUGCAUCAGUGUGAAUCCCGCUUCAUGCUCAGUGUGAUAAUUAUCUGCACUGUUUUUGGGCGCGGAAACUUCAUGCUUCCAACUGUCGCGAGACAAACCCUUUUGACAUCUGACCUCAAAUCAGGUAGGACUACCCGCUGAACUUAA